AGGAAUAUGUUCUUAUUUAUGGUUUGGCAUUUGUGUUAGAUGAGUAAUAUGCUUCUAUAUGUGCUCUUUGAAAUAAGGGAGGUUUCAGCUAAAUUAUAUUAAGUUUGUUAGUAGUUCUUGAAGGUUGGUAUCUUUCCAGCGAAUCAACUACAUAGCCUGUUAUGGUUUCUAACUCUUACCAAUCUUCAUAUUCAUAAUAUUUGUUGUUGUAAGUAGUAUUUAUUGUUGUUAUUAAUUUCAUGUCCAAGGCACUGAUAAUCUGUACCAACAUUAUUCUAAUGUUGGCUACAAGUUGUGUAACAUAGUUAACUUUUUUUCCUUUUUGAGCGUCUUGCCAUGAAUUAUGAUUUUCAUUUGCUUGUAUUGUCGAAAGGUGCAUUGGUAGCUAAGUAGCUUCUUUGCUUUUCACUUUGGUGCAACUUUUGUAGAAUUGAAAGAAAUUUUAUCCAAACUUAAUUGCUGCCAAAACAGGAAGCUUAUCCAAAAAUGUACAGUCCAUGAAAGAUAUCUAUCCUUGCUUUUGUUUAAAAAGGAAAACAAGGAGGAUUUUUGGAGGGUGAAAAUUUAGGACGUCAACUUUGUGGGAUUUCUUUUCUGAACUGAACAUGAAACCAAUUUACUUCCAUGUGAGACCCAGACAUGAGAUGGAACUUGACAAUAUUCCUUCAUUCAGAUUGAGGGGGAAAAAUGAACUGCUCUGUCUUCAAACAGCCAGCAUCAAUGCAUCCAUUGUUCUAAAAAGUGACUCAUAUCUUCUGGUUGUCAAGAUUUCAUGUCAAAUUAUAUUUAAAUUGGAUGUUAGAUGAUACAGAAUAGACUGUUAGCUUAAAAGUAUGCUAAUACACUCACUCCUUUUAUGGAUAAUAUUUAAGCAUUCAUAAACUACAUGAAAGCAUCACAUGUAUUGCAUAUGUCCAAUACUUGUGAGGUUUAUUCAAAGCAUUUAGUAGCGUAGCCUGUUAGUUAUAGUUUAAGAUUUUAUGUGUUUUAACUGAUUUAAGUACAUAAAGGGACCCUCCUGGUAUAAUCAUCAAAAGUAGUGAAAAUGAAACUCCAUUCUGCCUUGAUUUUGUAAAUUUUAAAAUCAUGAUCUUCCUUCCAUUGGCACCAAAACUGGGGCAGUAAUAAUCCCAUGGCAUUUUAGCCUGCAGAUAUAUCCUCCAUAUCAACCUAGAUUGGAUUGUUAGUAACUUCUCCAGUCACAGCGGCUGAUGCUGGGGGCUGGUUCCUUGCUUCAGUACCCAUUUAGUGGCUCGGUUUCCUACCUGUAGAUGUGAGAAAUUUGUUUCUCCUUCCAAUACUCAAGCAGUAGCUUGACAUCCAUGAGAUCAUCAAUUGUUGCAACUUCUUGCUCCAGUAUGUCAAGGGGAAAAAUAAAAAAUAAAAAAUCAGUUUUUGCAUAAACGUCACAUGGUAUGAUUUUAGUAUACUAUGUAAAUGUCAGUAAUAAUAGUCAGAUGUGAUUUGUUACAAAUGACCUAAGCUUCUAUCUUUUACUGUACUGAAUGAAAAGAUUCUUUGAGGAUUACCUCAUGAUCGGCAGGUCAUCCUACCAUUAUGGUGUUGCCGCUACCGCUUACUAUUCAUCCCAAAAGCAUAGUGUUAUUUGGCCACCGUAUGUGUGUGCUAUUUGAUGUGGGAUUUCUAGGGUUUGAGGCUGAUUGGGGGUUGGGUCGAUAAAGUGGUAACACAUGGUAUGUAUCUUCUUUUUUUCUUUAUAUAUAUAUACACAGAGGGUAUUUAUCUGGUUAGAGAAGAGGUGGUUCCAUCUUUGAAUCACCUUUCGCUCACCAAUAUUAUGGGGCAUCACCCUUCUUUUUAAAUCUGUAAAGGAGUGCUUAUAACAAGCAAUAAGUAAUAAUUGAUGCACUGACAUAUGAUUAUAUGACCUCAGCAAAUUGCUGUUACCUAUUUUUAAGCUUGUGAAUUACUAUUUUGCGAGUCUCAGUUAGGUAUAUUGCAUUGUGAUUUCAGCUCAUGUCUUGCACCUCAAUCGCAAGGUUGUGGGAUUAUACUUCGCUUUCCAUUUACUCUG
rnacentral:lncRNA from 1 species